GUGAAAAGCACUUCGAACAGAAGAGUGAAAUAGUCCCUGAACCCAUACGCCUACAAGCAGUCGGAGCCGCUUCGUGCGGUGACGGCGUGCCUUUUGCAUAAUGAGCCUACGAGUUACUCAUCACCAGCGAGGUUAAGUACUUCAGGUACGUAAGCCGAAGCGAAAGCGAGUCUGAAUAGGGCGUCAAGUUGGUGGUGGUAGACGCGAAACCUUAGUGAUCUACCCAUGGGCAGGGUGAAGGUUUGGUAACACAAACUGGAGGCCCGAACCGGUAAACGUUGAAAAGUUUUCGGAUGACCUGUGGGUAGGGGUGAAAGGCCAAUCAAACUGGGAAAUAGCUCGUACUCUCCGAAAUGCAUUUAGGUGCAGCCUCUGUUGUUUUGUUCUAGAGGUAGAGCUACUGAUUGGAUGCGAGGGCUUCACCGCCUAUCAAAUCCGGCCAAACUCCGAAUGCUAGAACAUGAAGACAGGGAGUGAGCCAGCGGGUGCUAAGGUCCGUUGACGAAAGAGGGAGAACUCAGACCAUCAGCUAAGGUCCCCAAUUAUAUGCUAAGUUGGAAUAAAAACGGGGUGGGACUGCUUAGACAGCUAGGAUGUUGGCUUGGAAGCAGCCAUUCAUUUAAAGAGUGCGUAACAGCUCACUAGUCGAGCGGUCCUGCAUGGAUAAUACGCGGGCAUAAGCAUAUAACCGAAGCUAUGGGAUUGUAGAUGAUACAAUCGGUAGGAGAGCAUUCCAUUCAGCGUAGAAGCAGUACCGUGAGGUAUUGUGGAGCGGAUGGAAAAGCAAAUGUAGGCAUAAGUAACGAUAAUGCGGGUGAGAACCCCGCACGCCGAAAGAUCAAGGAUUCCCCGGCAAUGUCAAUCAUCCGGGGGUAAGUCGGAUCCUAAGGGUAAGCCGAGUGGCGAUCCCGAUGGUAAACAGGUUAAUAUUCCUGUACUGAUCAUAACUGCGAUGCAGCGACGCAGAGGUGACACUGCUGCGUACUGACGGAAUAGUACGUUGAAACCCGUAUUCUUUGAUACCGGUAGUGAAGCACGCCGGUAGAGAUGAAAGGUGAUAGUACCGCAAUGCUUCGGUUGCGCGGAUAAUGCAGGUAAGCUGACUGCCAAGAAAACCUGCUAAGCUUCAGGUAAUGAUCAUCCGUACUGUAAACGGACACACGUGAUCAGGUAGAAAAUACUAAGGCGCUCGAGAGAUUCAUGGUUAAGGAACUAGGCAAAAUGGUCCUGUAACUUCGGGAUAAAGGACGCUCUUGUGAAAGAGCCGCAGAUAAUAGGCCCAGGCGACUGUUUACCAAAAACACAUGGCUAUGCUAAUUCGCAAGAAGAUGUAUAUGGCCUGACACCUGCCCGGUGCCGGAAGGUUAAGAGGAGAGCUCAGAGGCAACUCGAAGGUUUGAAUUGAAGCCCCGGUAAACGGCGGCCGUAACUAUAACGGUCCUAAGGUAGCGAAAUUCCUUGUCGGGUAAGUUCCGACCUGCACGAAUGGUGUAACGAUCUGGGUACUGUCUCAACCAUGAGCUCGGUGAAAUUGUAGUUCCGGUGAAGAUGCCGGAUACCCGCAACGGGACGGAAAGACCCCGUGAACCUUUACUGCAGCUUUGCAUUGAUUUUGGGUAACAGAUGUGUAGGAUAGGUCGGAGGCUUUGAUGCUGCGUCGUCAGGCGUAGAGUAGCCGUCGUUGAAAUACGACCCUUUUGUUAUCUGAGGUCUAAUCCCGUUAGGGAGACAUUGCAUGGUGGGUAGUUUGACUGGGGUGGUCGCCUCCAAAAGUGUAACGGAGGCUUCUCAAGGUACCCUCAAGGCGUUUGGUAAUCGUCUGCAGAGUGCAAUGGCAUAAGGGUGCUUGACUGUGAGACCGACACGUCGAUCAGGUUGGAAACAAGAGCAUAGUGAUCCGGUGGUUCCGCAUGGAAGGGCCAUCG
rnacentral:rRNA from 1 species